AAACUCAAAGUUUAAACUUUUAUUGAUAUUUUAUUUAGUUAAGGAAUCUUCGAGUAAUAGUUAAAAAAAAUCUUUCGCAUUCUAAUUCUAUAGCUAAAUCAUGUGUUGUUGCUAUAUUAUAAACUUUCGUGCAUGAGCCAUUUAAAUCCGUUCGCAUUACUUUUUUAGUUGUUUCCCCUGGAAAAUUCUCUUCUUGCUAGCCUUCGCUGAGUUAUUCAACAACAUCGCUAUAUUGCUGAUUUUUGCUGUUGUUUUUUGGUUAUAGCUGCAUGCUUUUGUUGGAUAAUGUUUAAUUUAUCAUUCAAGUUUUACAUAUGAUUCUGUUUAAACCAUAUUUAAUCGAUGUUUUUGUGAAUUUCGCGCAUGCUUAACUUGCCCGAUUUCGGACGUAAUUUACUUUCGGAUACAUGCUCCUCUUGUGUUUUUUUUCGAUGUUUUCUUAUGUAUGCAGAUUAAAAAAAACAGCUCAUGCUUAAAUGUGUUAUUGAGCAAGUGACUUCUUAAUACUAUGGCAGGAAUAAAACACUGUUAUAAAAUUAUAAAGGAGGUUUAGUUACAUGUAUAAACUCACAGUCACAAGUGUGUAAGUAUUACUGUUACAUUUAUUUAUAUUUACUAAAAGUAAAUAUAUGCUCACAUAUCAGUAAGUAUUGUACAGCCCUAAAUUAUAUUUAAUACACCCAUCUAGGCAGUUAAUUCAUAUAUGUGCUGGCUUUAAUUUACAUUCAUGUUAUUAUCACCCUGCAAUAGGCGGAGGGAUAUUGUUUUGGCCUUGUCCGCCUGUCUUUCCGUCCAUCCGGCACUUUUGUGUUGGGAGCCAUACCUUGGAAGUGCUUUGGUGGAUUUCAUCGAAACUUGGUAUGAGUAUAUGUAUAGAUAAGAGGAUGAUGCAUGCCAAAUGGCAUUGUACACUAUCUGUUAAUAACAGAGUUAUGGCCCUUCGAACCUAAAAAAAUGCUUUUUUACCUGAGUGUCAAAUAUAACACUUUUGUGUCCAGAAGCUAAUUAGCGGGGGAUAUCAAUUCAAUGAAUUUGCUUGUUAUUAAUUGAAGGGAAAUAGACCUGUUAUUUUGUCUCUCAUUAUGGUGUUUAAAGUCACAUUUAAUGGCAUCCAACCUACUUUAUUUCAAAUACAGUAACACCUGGCGCCGUGACCUGGAUGCAGAUUCUAAGCAGAUGGGCCAAAAUGGGGGCAGCUAGAGAGACUCGCCUGGAACUGACAAGCCUGGAGGGAGCUGGUUGACUGUUGGCGAGAUGGGACAACAGACGAAGAAUAAACGAACCUACUUGAUUUGAUUAACAUUUUUAUGUUUUUCAGUUUCGUCGGAAGACAUUUCCCACCAACCAUCCUGUCUUGAAAGAAAUAACUUUUGAACCCGAUUAUCUGAUAUUUUCCAGUUUCCCCUCACAACAAUUUGCAUCAAACCUCUUGUCUGCUCCUCAGCUGAAAUCAUCAUCUAGCAGUCACAAUAGUUGAGCGGUUGGAGAGGCAUGCAUUGCGUCCUACUACUGCUCAGACUAUAUCAUGUUUGGCAGACAAAACAUGCUGAUCAAAAAGAAUGUGUACCACAGGGGCCAGUGUUUCCAUUUGAGUGAUUGACAAGGAGAAGAAGAGAUGAGAAAUGUUAUCAUCAUAUUUUAGUCCCUACAUUUAUAGUGUACAGCUCAAUGUAUUGAACCGGUGUUGUAGAAUAUAAUUGGAGAUACAUGCGAACAUUAUAACAUUAUAUAUAAGAUGAUAUUUCAAAAGCAAUAAGAAAUAAAAAGUAUAAAAAGGUCAAAACAGUAAACCUUGUGUUUACAGUGGACAGGUUUAAAGUGGAAGUGACUAGUUAAUUGUUGAUCAUAAGCUGCACUGAUGGAAAAAAUAGUGGGAAAUUACUAUCUAGAAAACUGUUUAACGUACGACAACAGUUUUGGAACUUCAUAAAUGACCGUAUGUAACAGGGCUGGGCAGUUUUCCUUAUAUAGCUAUAGUGAAACCUUUUGAACACUAGUGAAGUCACUGUUUUUUUUCCAAUCUUCAUGCAUUUUGGUCGAAUAUUUGUUCAAAUGAUGGCUCAGUCCAGUUUCGAAAUUUUUAUGUCUAUUCAAAAAACAUAUCCACUAGAGCACGAGGCAAUUGUCUUUAUAUGGCUAUAAUGAAACCUUGUAAAUUCUCUAGAAGUGACAUUUUUAGCCAUAUCUCCAUAAAUUUUGGUCAGAAUAUUUAUUCUAAUGAUAGCUCAGUUGUCGAGUUUGUAACUGGUUCCGGUUUGUAGACUAACAUGGCUGCCAGUGGACAUGACAGUUUUUCUUAAUGUGCUAGAGUAGAACCUUGUUAACACACAAUUGGCCCUUUUUAUGUGCAUUUUUCAUGAAAGAUGAUCAGAGCAUUUGGCCCAAUGUAAUCUCAGCUGACUUUGAAACUGGAUCACAUAACGUCAAAAAGUGGGUCAAAAUGUCAAAUUAAAAAAAGCUUGUAAACACUGGAAGUUGCAUUUAAAAUUGUGUUCCUUUUUUAUGUCCCCCACUAUAGUAGUGGGGGACAUAUUGUUUUUUCCCUGUCUGUUGGUUGGUCUGUUGGUUGGUUGGUUUGCGCCAACUUUAACAUUUGCAAUAACUUUUGCAAUAUUGAAGAUAGGAACUUGAUAUUUUGCAUGCAUAUGUAUCUCAUGGAGCUGCACAUUUUGAGUGGUGAAAGGUCAAGGUCAUCCUUCAAGGUCAAAGGACAAAUAUAUGGGUCAAAAUCGCUCAUUUAAUGUACACUUUUGCAGUAUUUCAAUAUUCAAGAUAGCAACUUGAUAUUUGGCAUGCAUGUGUAUCUCAUUGAGCUGCACAAUUUGAGUGGUGAAAGGUUAAGUUCAUCCUUCAAGGUCAGAUGUCAAAUAUAUGUGUCCAAAAUCGCUCAUUUUAUUAUACUUUUGCAAUAUUGAAGAUAGCAACUUGAUAUUUGGCAUGCAUGUGUAUCUCAUGGAUCUGCACAUUUUGAGUGGUGAAAGGUCAAGGUCAUCCUUCAAGGUCAGUGGUCGAAUAUAUGUGGCCCAAAUCGCUUAUUUUAUGAAUACUUUUUCUAUAUUGAAGAUAGCAACGUGAUAUUUGGCAUGCAUGUGUAUCUCAUUGAGCUGCACAUUUUUAGUGGUGAAAGGUCAAGGUCAUCCUUCAAGGUCAAAUAUAUGGGUCAAAAUUGAUCAUGUAAUGUCACUUCUGCAAUAUUGAAGCUAGCAAUUUGAUAUUUGAAAUGCAUAUGUAUCUCAUGGAGCUGCACAUUUUGAGUGGUGAAGGGUCAAGGUCAUCCUACAAGGUCAAACGUCAUAUAGGGGGACAUUGUGUUUCACAAACACAUCUUGUUUAAAGUUUGUCAAAACAUUUGCUGUAAUGAUAAGCAAAGUCAAGUUUAUAAAUAAUAAUUUGUCUACAAAUUACAUAUUUUUCAUUAAGUUCAUUUAUUAUUCUAAACUACACCCUCUCAGAAUAGUUUAGUUACUUCUGGUCACAGUUGAGCACCUUAGGGCUCUUGUUCAAUAAUUUGAUUGUUUUGGAAAAUUGUCAUUUUGCCAAAAUGUGAGCAAGUCCAAAUUUAAUUAACCCUGCUUUGUAGUAUCUUGUUUUCCUUAUAUGUAAAAAGUGGAAAAUUAUCUAUGAAUCUGACUGCAUAGAUAUUUGGUAUUCAGCAAAGCAUCGUGUAAAUGUAGUAAAACUAAACACAAUUGUGUUAGCAUAAAACUGGCCAUGCCAUGGGGGUCAAAUGGUAAAUACAGACUUGUAGGAAAAAGACUUCUAAAAAUUUUAUCCGUUAAAUAUAUUUUGUGUACAUAAUGAUUAGCUUUUUCCUUCAACUUAUC